rnacentral:rRNA from 1 species
CCUACGGGAGGCAGCAGUGGGGAAUAUUGCACAAUGGGGGAAACCCUGAUGCAGCGACGCCGCGUGAGUGAAGAAGUAUUUCGGUAUGUAAAGCUCUAUCAGCAGGGAAGAAAAUGACGGUACCUGAUUAAGAAGCCCCGGCUAACUACGUGCCAGCAGCCGCGGUAAUUCGUAGGGGGCCAGCGGUAUCCGGAUUUACUGGGGGUAAAGGGAGCGUAGACGGUGCAGCAAGUCUGAUGGGAAAGGUGGGGGCCCAACCCCGGGACUGCCUUGGAAACUGUUGAACUGGAGUACAGGAGAGGUAAGCGGAAUUCCUAGUGUAGCGGUGAAAUGCGUAGAUAUUAGGAGGAACACCAGUGGCGAAGGCGGCUUACUGGACUGUAACUGACGUUGAGGCUCGAAAGCGUGGGGAGCAAACAGGAUUAGAUACCCCAGUAGUC